CCUGGGUUUAUACACCCAGGUUUUGCUUAUGCACGUGUAACACGUGUACUUGUAUAAAUCUUUACCAGGUACCAGUGCCCCUCAAGAACACUUUGCCCUCACUAUUUGCAGUGCCAGAAUGAAAACACACCAUGGUCUGUCUGGCCCAGCAAACCCUGCCGAGCCUUGUAGAAGUCCUAUCCUCCCCUAUAGGCUCCUUUGUGCCUUGCCACAGAGAGAAUGAAAACGUGCUUUGUUCCAGCCUGGGGGUGACCCUGCCGUGCGACAUCAGGGAUUGAGCUGGAGCUUCAGCCACAGACUGGGGCGGCCACCAUCCCCCUGUUACAGCAGAUGUAACCAAAACCACCACAUUCAGUGUAGCAUUCCUCAUUUUACAGACGUGGUCUGGGCUGCAUCCGAGCUCCGAAGCAGCACCGUGCUGAAUGAAAUCCCUCGCUGUGCGACAGCCCAGCCAGGAAUGACUGGUUUUGACCGAGGAAAACCCGUCAUUAAUCUGCUCUGCGUCCUGCAGGAGUAUUACAGCCUAAAAUUUUGGCCCCCUCGUGUGUUCUUGAUGGCUAAGAGAAACUACUGAGUGGGCCCUGAUUUCUGUGAAGUGCUGCAUUGUCGGAGGACCCUGAUUUCUGUGAAGUGCUGCAUUGUCGGAGAAGAGCUGGAGAAACUGGCUUUCAACACUUCUGACCCUUUAGACUCAUUGCUUAAACCUAAGAGCUGGAGUUAUUCUCUAGUUGUUGGUUACAUUAAUGAAAAAUGCGUGAAACCUCUUAGAAGCACAAGAAAAACAGGCACUGCAGGAGCUCCAUUGCCUGAGAAAAGAUUUUAAAGUUGCUUUCGGAGUUAAGCAUCUGAGCACUGCCAUCCAGUGGGCGCUGGGAACCAGCUCUGCCGCCCCCCGCUACUGGCCUGGGCUGCACGGAGCGUUUCCAGCGAGCACAGCGGGACCCUCACACCGUCAGGGGCUCCUGGUACGGGACCCCUGCUCUGCCUCGGUGAGGAGAUGGGGCUGGGGCAGUGGCAGCUGCAGGAGCCCGCAGGGUUUCAUCUGCAUCGCCCCAUCCGAGUCUGGGCAGCCCCGAGCAGGGUCAGGGCACAACCACGUUUUUUAGAGUUUGGCAGAAGAUGCAGGGUGUUGAGAGUCUGUCUUUGAGACAGCUACCAGCAGCUCUCUGAGCAAUCCUUCUUUUGCACUUCCAGCCCCCCCACCACAAGAAGCCCUAGACUGUGCAAAGGAGUAUAUUGUAGAGCUCCUUCAAACACUAUGCCUGAUUGCUAAAUCAGAUGGUUUAUUACAAGGUAUUUCCUAUAUAAACUCAACUGGACAAAAGAAGAAAAAGCAAAAAAGAUAAAAUUACAUUAUUCACUAGGCUACUUCAGAUGUAUUUCCAGUGGCCUGUGCCAAGAUGCUCAGGACAUGAUGAUCAUGGUGAUUUCAGCUUAUUUCACCUGA